GCUCGUCUGGGCGAGGGUAAAUAGUAAUUAGGCCCAGAGCGUCCCGGCUCCUGGUUCGCCGGUCGGGGGUUUAG
rnacentral:ribozyme from 2 species